rnacentral:rRNA from 1 species
UAGUCAUAUGCUUGUCUCAAAGAUUAAGCCAUGCAUGUCUAAGUAUAAACACCUUUAUACAGUGAAACUGCGUACAGCUCAUUAUAUCAGUUAUGAUUUAUUUGAUGGUUAUUUUCUACAUGGAUACCUGUAGUAAUUCUAGAGCUAAUACAUGCGUAAAGUCCCGAUCCGUGAGGAAAGGGAUGUAUUUAUUAGAUAGCAAACCAAUGCAGGCGCAAGUCUGGUUUUUUGGUGACUCCUAGUAACUGUUCGAAUCGCAUGGCUUCACGCUGGCGAU